rnacentral:rRNA from 1 species
AACGAACGCUGGCGGCAGGCUUAACACAUGCAAGUCGAACGCAUCCUUCGGGGUGAGUGGCAGACGGGUGAGUAACGCGUGGGAACGUGCCCUUCAGUUCGGGAUAACCCAGGGAAACUUGGGCUAAUACCGGAUACGUGCGAGAGCAGAAAGAUUUAUCGGUGAAGGGUCGGCCCGCGUCCGAUUAGCUAGUUGGUGGGGUAAUGGCCCACCAAGGCGACGAUCAGUAGCUGGUCUGAGAGGAUGACCAGCCACAUUGGGACUGAGACACGGCCCAAACUCCUACGGGAGGCAGCAGUUGGGAAUAUUGGACAACGGGCGCAAGCCUGAUCCAGCCAUGCCGCGUGAGUGAUGAAGGCCUUAGGGUUGUAAAGCUCUUUCGUCCGGGACGAUAAUGACGGUACCGGAAGAAGAAGCCCCGGCUAACUACGUGCCAGCCGCCGCAGUAA